rnacentral:rRNA from 1 species
UACGUAGGUGGCGAGCGUUGUCCGGAUUUACUGGGCGUAAAGAGCGCGCAGGCGGCUGGUCAAGUCCGAUGUGAAAGCUCCCGGCUUAACUGGGAAAUUGCAUCGGAAACUGAUCGGCUGGAAGGUGGGAGAGGGUAGCGGAAUUCCCGGUGUAGUGGUGAAAUUCGUAGAUAUCGGGUGGAACACCUGUGGCGAAGGCGGCCAUCUGGACGUCAACUGACGCUGAGACGCGAAAGCGUGGGGAGCAAACAGG